rnacentral:rRNA from 1 species
CCUACGGGAGGCAGCAGUGGGGGAUAUUGCACAAUGGGGGAAACCCUGAUGCAGCGAAGCCGCGUGUGGGAAGACGGUCCUCUGGAUUGUACACCACUGUCCCCAGGGACGAAGAUGACGGUAGCUGGGGAGUAAGCUCCGGCUAACUACGUGCCAGCAGCCGCGGUAAUACGUAGGGACCGAGCGUUGUCGGGAAUUACUGGGUGUAAAGGGAGCGUAGGGGGGCAGGCAAGUUGGGUGUCAAAACUACCGGCUCAACUGGUAGUCGCACUCAAAACUGCAGCUCUUGAGUGAAGUAGAGGCAGGCGGAAUUCCUAGUGUAGCGGUGAAAUGCGUAGAUAUUAGGAGGAACACCAGUGGCGAAGGCGGCCUGCUGGGCUUUUACUGACGCUGAGGCUCGAAAGUGUGGGGAGCAAACAGGAUUAGAUACCCCAGUAGUC